rfam:Xenopus laevis strain J chromosome 9_10S, whole genome shotgun sequence.
CCUCUUCUCAAAGCACUUGCAGUGUCUGCCCCGUGGCACCAUGAGUUGUCGUGGAAGAGGAGAGAAAGACAUGACUUUUGGGUGAAGAGGCAGCGACAUGUGCUGUUCUACUUCAAUCAGUCAUGUGACAAGU